rnacentral:rRNA from 1 species
ACAGGGAUUGCCUCAGUAACUGGCGAGUGAAGCGGCAAGAGCUCAAAUUUGAAAUCUGGCGUCCGCGACGUCCGAGUUGUAAUUUGGAGAGGCAUCUUCUGGAGGGGCCCAGCCUAUGUUCCUUGGAACAGGACGUCAUAGAGGGUGAGAAUCCCGUUCUCGGCUGGAUGUCCCCACCUGCAUGUAGUGUCUUCUACGAGUCGAGUUGUUUGGGAAUGCAGCUCAAAAUGGGUGGUAAAUUUCAUCUAAAGCUAAAUAUUGGCGAGAGACCGAUAGCGCACAAGUAGAGUGAUCGAAAGAUGAAAAGCACUUUGAAAAUAGAGUCAAACAGUACGUGAAAUUGUUGAAAGGGAAGCGCUUGAGACCAGACUCGGCCUUGGACAAACAACCUACCUUCUGGUGGGUGCACUUGCCCUGGGUCGGGCCAGCAUCAGUUGGGACGGCGGGAUAAAGGCCGCGGGAAUGUGGCUCCUCUCGGGGAGUGUUAUAGCCCUGGGCGCCAUGCCGUCAGUCCCGACUGAGGACCGCGCUUCGGCAAGGAUGCUGGCGUAAUGGUCUUCAGCGACCCGUCUUGAAACACGGACCAAGGAGUCUAACAUCUAUGCAAGUGUUUGGGCUUCAAACCCUUACGCGUAAUGAAAGUGAACGGAGGUGGGAACCCCGAGAGGGGCGCACCAUCGACCGAUCCUGAUGUCUUCGGAUGGAUUUGAGUAGGAGCAUAGCUGUUGGGACCCGAAAGAUGGUGAACUAUGCCUGAAUAGGGUGAAGCCAGAGGAAACUCUGGUGGAGGCUCGCAGCGGUUCUGACGUGCAAAUCGAUCGUCAAAUUUGGGUAUAGGGGCGAAAGACUAAUCGAACCAU